AACCAUUCUCACCUGCGGCUAGACCUGCGGAAGGAUCAUUAUCAGAGUGUAUGACCCCCUAUAAAAUGGGGGUUAACCUCCCGUCCUUUGCUGGCCACCCCUUUCAAGGGUGGGCUUUUGAUUUCUGCUUCGGUGGGGUUACCCACCGAAACAUCCCUCAAAAUUCUUCGUUGAAAAUUGUUCAGUCCGAGGAUUUUUUGGAAUUAAUGAAAAACUUUCAGCAACGGAUCUCAGAUCGGA
rnacentral:misc_RNA from 1 species